rnacentral:rRNA from 1 species
CCCUUAGACGUUCUGGGCCGCACGCGCGCUACACUGACGAAGGCAACGAGCUUUCCUUUACCGAAAGGUACGGGUAAUCUUUUGAAACUUCGUCGUGCUGGGGAUAGAUCCUUGCAAUUUUUGAUCUUAAACGAGGAACGCCUAGUAAGCGCAAGUCAUCAACUUGCGUUGAUUACGUCCCUGCCCUUUGUACACACCGCCCGUCGCUACUACCGAUUGAAUGGUUUAGUGAGGCCUUCGGAUCCGCGACUCGUUUGUGGAGAAGUUGGACAAACUCAGUCAUUUAGAGGAAGUAAAAGUCGCAACA